rnacentral:rRNA from 1 species
AGUGAACGCUGACGGUAGGCCUAACACAUGCAAGUCGAACGGCAGCACAGUAAGAGCUUGCUCUUACGGGUGGCGAGUGGCGGACGGGUGAGGAAUACAUCGGAAUCUACUUUUUCGUGGGGGAUAACGUAGGGAAACUUACGCUAAUACCGCAUACGACCUACGGGUGAAAGCAGGGGAUCUUCGGACCUUGCGCGAUUGAAUGAGCCGAUGUCGGAUUAGCUAGUUGGCGGGGUAAAGGCCCAACAAGGCGACGAUCCGUAGCUGGUCUGAGAGGAUGAUCAGCCACACUGGAACUGAGACACGGUCCAGACUCCUACGGGAGGCAGCAGUGGGGAAUAUUGGACAAUGGGCGCAAGCCUGAUCCAGCCAUACCGCGUGGGUGAAGAAGGCCUUCGGGUUGUAAAGCCCUUUUGUUGGGAAAGAAAAGCAGCAGGUUAAUACCCCGCUGUUCUGACGGUACCCAAAGAAUAAGCACCGGCUAACUUCGUG